UACGUAGGGGGCAAGCGUUGUCCGGAAUUACUGGGCGUAAAGCGCGUGUAGGCGGGACGGUUAGUCGGACGUGAAAGGCUGGGGCUCAACCCCAGAUCGCCGUUCGAAACUGCCGUUCUUGAGGGUCGAAGAGGAGAGUGGAAUUCCCAGUGUAGAGGUGAAAUUCGUAGAUAUUGGGAAGAACACCGGUGGCGAAGGCGGCGCUCUGGACCGAGACUGACGCUGAGGCGCGAAAGCGUGGGGAGCAAACAGG
rnacentral:rRNA from 1 species